UUAGAGUGAGCGGCAAACGGGUGAGUAACGCGUGGGAAUCUACCCAUUUCUACGGAAUAACACAGAGAAGUUUGUGCUAAUACCGUAUACGUCCUAUUUGGAGAAAGAUUUAUCGGAGAUGGAUGAGCCCGCGUUGGAUUAGCUAGUUGGUGAGGUAAUGGCUCACCAAGGCGACGAUCCAUAGCUGGUCUGAGAGGAUGAUCAGCCACACUGGGACUGAGACACGGCCCAGACUCCUACGGGAGGCAGCAGUGGGGAAUAUUGGACAAUGGGGGCAACCCUGAUCCAGCCAUGCCGCGUGAGUGAUGAAGGCCCUAGGGUUGUAAAGCUCUUUCACCGGUGAAGAUAAUGACGGUAA
rnacentral:rRNA from 1 species